rnacentral:tRNA from 1 species
GCCUGGGUGGCUCAGUUGGUUGAGUGCCCGACUUUGGCUCAGGUCAAGAUCUCAUGGUUUGUGAGUUUGAGCCCCACAUCGGGCU